rnacentral:rRNA from 1 species
GAUAAACGCUGGCGGCGUGCUUAACACAUGCAAGUCGAACGGAGUACUUCUCCCGAGACCGAGGAAGCUUGCUUCCAAAGAAUCAUUUGAAGUACUUAGUGGCGGACGGGUGAGUAACGCGUGGGUAACCUCCCUCACACAGGGGGAUAACAGUUGGAAACGACUGUUAAUACCGCAUAAGCGCACAGUAUCGCAUGAUACAGUGUGAAAAACUCCGGUGGUGUGAGAUGGACCCGCGUCUGAUUAGCUAGUUGGUGAGGUAACGGCCCACCAAGGCGACGAUCAGUAGCCGCCCUGAGAGGGUGUACGGCCACAUUGGGACUGAGACACGGCCCAAACUCCUACGGGAGGCAGCAGUGGGGAAUAUUGCACAAUGGGGGAAACCCUGAUGCAGCGACGCCGCGUGAGCGAUGAAGUAUUUCGGUAUGUAAAGCUCUAUCAGCAGGGAAGAUAA